rnacentral:rRNA from 1 species
UCCGAUAACGAACGAGACUCCGGCCUGCUAACUAGUGCGCCGAUGUGUGUGCGUUUUUUGCUACGGCGGGCUCGGGCCGUGCGUGUUCGUCGCGCGUCGCUUCGGUCGUGCGUUCGCGUUCGUUUCGUUCUCGCGCGUCGGUCGGCGGCUGUGGGGGCGGCGGUUCGCCGUCGUUUCCCGCAUUCGUCCCGGCGUCGGGGGCGGCGGGCGUGGGCGUCGUCGAYGGUGGCGUGCGGUAGUGCGUGCGGUUUCCGCCGGGUCCGGGUCGGUUUUCUCACGCACUUCUUAGAGGGACGGGUGGCAGAAAGCCACACGAGGCGGAGCGAUAACAGGUCUGUGAUGCCCUUAGAUGUCCGGGGCCGCACGCGCGCUACACUGGAGGUAUCAGCGGGGACUUCGCCCCGGCCCGAGAGGGCUGGGAAACCUCUCAACCACCUCCCGUGAUAGGGAUCGGGGCCUGUAACCAACCCCGUGAACGAGGAAUUCCCGGUAGGCGCGGGUCAACAGCCCGCGUCGAUCACGUCCCUGCCCUUUGUACACACCGCCCGUCGCUACUACCGAUCGAACGGUCCGGUGAGGUCCUCGGAUCUGGCCGACGACGCCGCCGGGCUGCCUGGCGGGUCUGGGGAGGGGGUUCGCCUCCUUCGUCCGCCGCCUGUGCCGCCUCGGCGUUCGACGCCUGGAGAAGACGACCGAACCCGAUCGUUUAGAGGAAGUAAAAGUCGUAACAAGGUUUC